GAGCCGAAGGGAAACCGAGUCUUAACUGGGCGUUAAGUUGCAGGGUAUAGACCCGAAACCCGGUGAUCUAGCCAUGGGCAGGUUGAAGGUUGGGUAACACUAACUGGAGGACCGAACCGACUAAUGUUGAAAAAUUAGCGGAUGACUUGUGGCUGGGGGUGAAAGGCCAAUCAAACCGGGAGAUAGCUGGUUCUCCCCGAAAGCUAUUUAGGUAGCGCCUCGUGAAUUCAUCUCCGGGGGUAGAGCACUGUUUCGGCAAGGGGGUCAUCCCGACUUACCAACCCGAUGCAAACUGCGAAUACCGGAGAAUGUUAUCACGGGAGACACACGGCGGGUGCUAACGUCCGUCGUGAAGAGGGAAACAACCCAGACCGCCAGCUAAGGUCCCAAAGUCAUGGUUAAGUGGGAAACGAUGUGGGAAGGCCCAGACAGCCAGGAUGUUGGCUUAGAAGCAGCCAUCAUUUAAAGAAAGCGUAAUAGCUCACUGGUCGAGUCGGCCUGCGCGGAAGAUGUAACGGGGCUAAACCAUGCACCGAAGCUGCGGCAGCGACACUGUGUGUUGUUGGGUAGGGGAGCGUUCUGUAAGCCUGUGAAGGUGUGCUGUGAGGCAUGCUGGAGGUAUCAGAAGUGCGAAUGCUGACAUAAGUAACGAUAAAGCGGGUGAAAAGCCCGCUCGCCGGAAGACCAAGGGUUCCUGUCCAACGUUAAUCGGGGCAGGGUGAGUCGACCCCUAAGGCGAGGCCGAAAGGCGUAGUCGAUGGGAAACAGGUUAAUAUUCCUGUACUUGGUGUUACUGCGAAGGGGGGACGGAGAAGGCUAUGUUGGCCGGGCGACGGUUGUCCCGGUUUAAGCGUGUAGGCUGGUUUUCCAGGCAAAUCCGGAAAAUCAAGGCUGAGGCGUGAUGACGAGGCACUACGGUGCUGAAGCAACAAAUGCCCUGCUUCCAGGAAAAGCCUCUAAGCAUCAGGUAACAUCAAAUCGUACCCCAAACCGACACAGGUGGUCAGGUAGAGAAUACCAAGGCGCUUGAGAGAACUCGGGUGAAGGAACUAGGCAAAAUGGUGCCGUAACUUCGGGAGAAGGCACGCUGAUAUGUAGGUGAAGUCCCUCGCGGAUGGAGCUGAAAUCAGUCGAAGAUACCAGCUGGCUGCAACUGUUUAUUAAAAACACAGCACUGUGCAAACACGAAAGUGGACGUAUACGGUGUGACGCCUGCCCGGUGCCGGAAGGUUAAUUGAUGGGGUCAGCGCAAGCGAAGCUCUUGAUCGAAGCCCCGGUAAACGGCGGCCGUAACUAUAACGGUCCUAAGGUAGCGAAAUUCCUUGUCGGGUAAGUUCCGACCUGCACGAAUGGCGUAAUGAUGGCCAGGCUGUCUCCACCCGAGACUCAGUGAAAUUGAACUCGCUGUGAAGAUGCAGUGUACCCGCGGCAAGACGGAAAGACCCCGUGAACCUUUACUAUAGCUUGACACUGAACAUUGAGCCUUGAUGUGUAGGAUAGGUGGGAGGCUUUGAAGUGUGGACGCCAGUCUGCAUGGAGCCGACCUUGAAAUACCACCCUUUAAUGUUUGAUGUUCUAACGUGGACCCGUGAUCCGGGUUGCGGACAGUGUCUGGUGGGUAGUUUGACUGGGGCGGUCUCCUCCUAAAGAGUAACGGAGGAGCACGAAGGUUGGCUAAUCCUGGUCGGACAUCAGGAGGUUAGUGCAAUGGCAUAAGCCAGCUUGACUGCGAGCGUGACGGCGCGAGCAGGUGCGAAAGCAGGUCAUAGUGAUCCGGUGGUUCUGAAUGGAAGGGCCAUCGCUCAACGGAUAAAAGGUACUCCGGGGAUAACAGGCUGAUACCGCCCAAGAGUUCAUAUCGACGGCGGUGUUUGGCACCUCGAUGUCGGCUCAUCACAUCCUGGGGCUGAAGUAGGUCCCAAGGGUAUGGCUGUUCGCCAUUUAAAGUGGUACGCGAGCUGGGUUUAGAACGUCGUGAGACAGUUCGGUCCCUAUCUGCCGUGGGCGCUGGAGAACUGAGGGGGGCUGCUCCUAGUACGAGAGGACCGGAGUGGACGCAUCACUGGUGUUCGGGUUGUCAUGCCAAUGGCACUGCCCGGUAGCUAAAUGCGGAAGAGAUAAGUGCUGAAAGCAUCUAAGCACGAAACUUGCCCCGAGAUGAGUUCUCCCUGACCCUUUAAGGGUCCUGAAGGAACGUUGAAGACGACGACGUUGAUAGGCCGGGUGUGUAAGCGCAGCGAUGCGUUGAGCUAACCGGUACUAAUGAACCGUGAGGCUUAACCUUACAACGCCGAAGGUGUUU
rnacentral:rRNA from 1 species